UACGGAGGGGGCUAGCGUUGUUCGGAAUUACUGGGCGUAAAGCGCACGUAGGCGGCUUUGCAAGUCAGAGGUGAAAGCCUGGGGCUCAACCCCGGAAUUGCCUUUGAGACUGCAUCGCUAGAAUUGUGGAGAGGUAAGUGGAAUUCCGAGUGUAGAGGUGAAAUUCGUAGAUAUUCGGAAGAACACCAGUGGCGAAGGCGACUUACUGGACACAUAUUGACGCUGAGGUGCGAAAGCGUGGGGAGCAAACAGG
rnacentral:rRNA from 1 species